rnacentral:rRNA from 1 species
UACAGAGGGUGCGAGCGUUAAUCGGAAUUACUGGGCGUAAAGCGCAUGUAGGUGGUUUAGAAAGUUGGGUGUGAAAUCCCCGGCUUAACCUGGGAAUGGCAUUUGGGACUGCAAGGCUUGAGUGCGGCAGAGGAGACUGGAAUUCCUGGUGUAGCAGUGAAAUGCGUAGAUAUCAGGAGGAACACCGAUGGCGAAGGCAGGUCUCUGGGCUGACACUGACGCUCAUGCACGAAGCGUGGGAG